CAGUCGCCACGGUAAUACGAAGGGUGCAAGCGUUAAUCGGAAUUACUGGGCGUAAAGCGUGCGUAGGCGGUGAGUUAAGUCUGCUGUGAAAUCCCCGGGCUCAACCUGGGAAUGGCAGUGGAUACUGGCUCGCUAGAGUGUGUCAGAGGAUGGUGGAAUUCCCGGUGUAGCGGUGAAAUGCGUAGAGAUCGGGAGGAACAUCAGUGGCGAAGGCGGCCAUCUGGGACAACACUGACGCUGAGGCACGAAAGCGUGGGGAGCAAACAGGAUUAGAUACCCCCGUAGUCCCUGUCUCUUAUAA
rnacentral:rRNA from 1 species